rnacentral:rRNA from 1 species
UAGGGAAUCUUCGGCAAUGGACGAAAGUCUGACCGAGCAACGCCGCGUGAGUGAAGAAGGUUUUCGGAUCGUAAAACUCUGUUGUUAGAGAAGAACAAGGACGUUAGUAACUGAACGCCCCCUGACGGUAUCUAACCAGAAAGCCACGGCUAACUACGUGCCAGCAGCCGCGGUAAUACGUAGGUGGCAAGCGUUGUCCGGAUUUAUUGGGCGUAAAGCGAGCGCAGGCGGUUUCUUAAGUCUGAUGUGAAAGCCCCCGGCUCAACCGGGGAGGGUCUGUGGAAACUGGGAGACUUGAGUGCAGAAGAGGGGAGUGUAAUUCCAUGUGUAGCGGUGAAAUGCGUAGAUAUAUGGAGGAACACCAGUGGCGAAGGCGACUCUCUGGACUGUAACUGACGCUGAGGCUCGAAAGCGUGGGGAGCAAACAGG